GACGAACGCUGGCGGCGUGCUUAACACAUGCAAGUCGAACGGGGUGGCGAGCGGGUGAGGAACACGACGGUGAUCUGCCUUGGGGUUCGGGGUAAGCUAGGGAAACUGGUUCUAGUACCGGAUAGGGGAUGAUGGGCUCGCGGCCUAUCAGCUUGUUGGGGGGGUGAUGGCCUACCAAGGCGUCGACGGGUAGCCGGCCUGGGAGGGGGUACGGCCACAUUGGGACUGCGAUACGGCCCAGACUCCUACGGGAGGCAGCAGUGGGGAAUAUUGCACAAUGGGGGGAAGCCUGAUGCAGCGACGCCGCGUGGGGGAUGAAGGCCUUCGGGUUGUAAACCCCUUUCGACAGGGACGCGGUACCUGUAGAAGAAGCACCGGCUAACUACGUGCCAGCAGCCGCGGUAAUAC
rnacentral:rRNA from 1 species